CUGAAACCAAAAACUAUUUCCUUGUCAAUUUUAUUAGAAUUUUGAGACAUCGUAAUGCAAAUUUGUUGAAUAGAAAAAAGCAGCCAAGGACUGGCCAGCUUAGGACGCAGCGGGAAACAUUCCAAUCCGGCCAUCAAAAGGACAUAACAAUAAUUAAUGGCAUUUGCUUAGAGAAUACAUAAUGGGAGCUCGGCCACCGUCAGACGACGCAGGUGGCAGAGCGACAGGAUUCUAUUUUUAUUAUUUUCCGAUUGGCAGUGAAUUAAUUUACAAUCUAUUUUUGUUGCUGUUGUUGUUGUUGUUGCUUUUCUUGCUUCUUCUGCUGCUGUUUUAACAUUUUGUGUCAGCUGUAUUGACACUGGACAAACUUGAAUGUCAAUAGGAUCGCUGCGAAACAAUGGACAUAUAAUGGAAAUUAACAUUAAUUUGGAAACAGAAACAAGGAAGCGUCGAGAGAAACAUUCAUAUGCACGGAAUUCUCACAAGUGAAAUAUGUAAAUUGUCUUGUAAUAAAACUUCCAAGACCAAGAACCAAGACCACGGAGCUGGGACCAAGAGCAAGAACAAGAGCAAGCAGCAAAUAUAAAUUUUAUGAAACAUUCUCCCGCCCCGGAGGAGCGAAGGAAUUAAAACAACGCGACAAUGGAAAAAAUGUAAAAUAAAUAAAUAAAGCACGAAGGAAAUAAAAAGAAAAACAAAAACAAAACAAAAUAACACCAAGUGAAUGCGACAGAAAUGUGCUACAGAAAAAAUUAUAUCCCUGCAGGACAUUAUUUUAAAUACUAAUCCGCAUCAGUUUUCAUUUGAAUCUUAGUGUUGGGGCACUCGCUGUCGUGGCGCUCGUCCUGCCGGCAACCCCAGGACAUCGACAUCACUUCGUUGUUGUCCUUUUAUUUUUUUCUUGUGUUUUUUUUAUUUUUAUUUUAUAUAUUUUGCCCUCAUCCACGUCCACAUCCACAUCCACGUCCACGUCCUGUUCUGCGACGUGCCUGCUGCCAUCUUUGUUUGUGCUGCGCUGUUACAUAAAUUCAGAUGUUAUCCUAAAUGCACACAGCAUGCACGUUAUUAAAAUAAGCGUCAAGCAUCGUCGUGCGACGUUCUAGGAAAACUCGUAUUACGUCCGAGGAGCAGGAGGAGCCGGAGGAGCCGGAAGUUAACCAAUAUAAUAAAAUAUCGCUCGUUGCUUAAUUUGGACUUUGGACAGAGGACUUUACAACGCAAGGAAUUCCACAUAGUUAUGGAAAGUCUGAAUUUGAGGGAUUUCAAAUGUAGCAUACUUUCCGGCGCUCUGGAGUAAAGCAAAUAUAUUAAGUAUACACGUCUAUUGUAAAAUUACAUUAGAUAUGAAUUAUCUAUCUCUUGAGUCUCGCACAAUUACUUCAAAUAGUUGAUUCAAAUAAUACUUACAAUAAAUUAUAGUAUUAAGAGGAAUGAAAUAAAUAGAAAUAAAUAUUGUAAAA